rnacentral:rRNA from 1 species
GAUGAACGCUGGCGGCGUGCCUAAUACAUGCAAGUCGAGCGAACAGACGAGGAGCUUGCUCCUCUGACGUUAGCGGCGGACGGGUGAGUAACACGUGGAUAACCUACCUAUAAGACUGGGAUAACUUCGGGAAACCGGAGCUAAUACCGGAUAAUAUAUUGAACCGCAUGGUUCAAUAGUGAAAGACGGUUUUGCUGGCACUUAUAGAUGGAUCCGCGCCGCAUUAGCUAGUUGGUAAGGUAACGGCUUACCAAGGCAACUAUGCGUAGCCGACCGGAUAGGGGGGUAGGCCGCCUGAGAGCGGGACCGCGGUCCAGGCGCCUGCGGGAGGGCGCAGUAGGGAAUCUGACGCAAUAGGCGAAAGCCUGGCGGAGCGACGCCGCGUGAGUGGUGAAGGUCUUCGGAUCGUAAAACUCUGUUAUUAGGGAAGAACCAAUGUGUAAGUAACUAUGCACGUCUUGACGGUACCUGAUCAGAAAGCCACGGCUAACUACGUG